UACGCGGAAAAGAGGGGCGAGGUUGCCGGCGAAAGAAUAAGGGCCCGGACGUUAUCGAAUUCAGACAGAAGAGACGAAUAAAGUUGAGCGUCGCUAAUAGACCGGUAUGCGAAACCGGAUCGUCCGGAAACGCUAAUAGAGUGGGCGUGAUAAAGAUAAAAAAAAAGUGUGAUUCCGUUCGCUCGUUUCGGGCAAAAGAUACGAGUUUCCAGAUCGAUCUACUCUCGCUAUAGUCACUUUUCUUUGAUCUUCGCUUCGGGUCUACCGAUAAACGCACGUGCAGCGGCACUUACACGCUGCUUGGGUAUGGAAUUUGCAUAAGUGCGAAAAUUAUUCACAAUACAAACGAGUUCUUUUCUCCAAACGAGAAAAUAAGUACAUAUUGCCACGUAGAUUUGACGAAGUUAUGUGAGCCUUUAACGAGCUUUCUCCGCGCACGAAAAUAACAAGCAUUAUUUUCCUCGGCCGCUUAUUUAUGUAGAACAUUCCGAAUGGAAAAUAUGUAGAGCGAAACGCUGUGGUAAUAAAGUUUGCUAAGAGAACACUGGUUGAUCGACGAUAGACCGAACAACGAAAAGCACGGCCGGUGGUAGCGUGCGACUGCCAGCCAAGGAAGAAAAGGAUGCGUAGAGGAAACGUGGUUUCUUUUACCUUUUCAUCGGAGUGGCUGAACGCGUACACGGCCGCUGGUGUUGGUGCGCGUGCGCAUGUGCACGCGCACUGCCAGUAGGAGGUAAUGGUAAUGCAUGGAGGAAAACGGUAAUAACGCAGAAAAGCAGGAGAGGCGGUUGCAGUGAUUUAAUAUAACUGAGUUACAGGAAGUGAAUAUUAUUAGCAUUCGCUCACGGUGGACCUAUGCACGUACAUUUAUCUUUCUCAUUUCUCGUAUAUUCGUGUUCGAUGUACAUAUACUGUAGCUCGAUACGCGUACAGGAAAAUGUGUACUCCAAGUUUACUCAAAUACGUACGUGCACACCUGUAUACGUGUUAUACGCAUGUGUGUACGAGACAGGGUGUGCAAGUACGUGCAAAAAAACAAGUGUACAACAGGGAGGACUACAGCGGGUCAGCAAGAAAGGAAAUAAUCACUCUUCGUGUGCGUUUAACGCGUCAAGGAACGCGUAUGCAUACGUGUGACGGUACACGACACGUAAUAUGUGUGAUGUAACGUACACAGUGCCUGAAAUGCACGUGCGAUUACGGCGCGCUUAUUUGUGCGCCGAACGAGUUUCGUUGAUGCAACGAAAUCGCUUCGCGGUAACCACCAUUUUACCGUGCCUUUUAUCUCGUGAAUAACGACCCCAUUGCGGGAAGAAUCGCCAUACUCAUGAGGGAAUGUAACAGUCUAUAGUCUACACUCCACACUCUACACUCUGCACUCCACGGUCUACAGUCUACAGUCUACAGUCUACAGUCUAGAGUCUACACAAAUAGACAGUUCUGUCGCGUUUAAAUAUUAGGUCUUUGGGUGCCGGUAAAUGACACGAAUUUUUGUAUACGCAAAGACAAUUCGAGUAAAGAAUAUCGAAUUGCUCAGCGACUUGAAAAUUAUAGGUAUCAGCAAAAAUGUAUUUUAAGAGCGAAACUUCGAUAUUCGAUGGAGAAAAUAUUUUUUGUAGCAAAGUAUUUUAUUAAAGAAGAUAAUCGUAUUGAAUUUUUCUUUAUCAGAAGUAAAUAAAUAAAUCGAAAAUUUGUAGAAAAAAUGUAACUUUGUUACAUGUACUUAUACGUUUUUAACAUCAAAGAAUUCGCAUUAAUCACGAGGCACUGCUCCUGCACCAGGAAGUCAGGGUGUACAAGUUCGAUCAGAUACACACGGAACAGCCGAUCUUAAUCAAUUUCCCUUAAUUUUACCGUUGCAUGACCACUUGGUACUGUAUACUGUAUACCUACAUAGUAGGCAGUUCAAUGGCGUUGCACUGCCAACGCUAACACGACUCUCUUUCUCCUUCUAAAAAGGUCUCUUCUACCUCUACCGUCAUUAGCAUUGCCAUUAGCUAAGUCUUCUACCCUGCAAAAAAUCUUAUCCCUAACUACUGCGCUACAAACUACCGAUUAACAUAUCAUUUAAUUAUCAGCCGAAUUAAAAAAAGAGCAACUAAAAACAGGUAUCAAAUAAAUCUUUAAUGACCCUUGAAAUUAUGCAACAUUUUCUCUCCUGUUUAGUUGAGAAACCAAUUACUUUAAGUUUACGUAACACAAUUUUUCCUUACCUCAAUGCCAAACUGCAAUACUCUAUUUAACUAAAUUGAUUUACUCGAAUAGCAAUACACCAGAGUUUCCUUAACGUAUUGCGAAGAAGAGUGUGCUGCACGCAGCGCUAGACAAAGCACCGAAUAGCAAAUGGAUUGUUAGUUUCCUGGCUGACGACUUGAGAGCGAGUCGCGAGCGACUAGAUUGCCGUGCGGCAUAAUACCGAAGCAAGGAAUAAAAUUUCUUUUUCAAUUACGAGCCGCGAAACUCUCUGUCCGGCCAUUAUCACCGCGCGUGAUACCUCGUUAAAACGUAUCCGGAAGGUCAAUCGUUUUAUAAUGCAAAGAGAAAGAGAGGGACCAGAGAGAGAGGGAGAGAGAGAGAGAGAGAGAGAGAGAGAAAGAGAGAGAAAGAAAGCAGGGGAUUGGAGAUGUAUCGCGGUUAGGGUCGAUGUAUGCAUUCUACACGUGGCUGUCUCUGGUCGUAGCUGCGCGUGCACCAAUGUUUCGGUGCACCGCGUAUCCUAUACGCCGUGAUUUCAUUUUAUUCGACGCGUAUGUAUAUGCAGGGAAAAAGAAAGGAAGAGAAAAGGUGCGAUAGAAACGCGCGACUCGACCGUGUUGUGUGCUGCUACACACGCACGGUCUCGCGUGCGCGCGCACGCAUACAUUCGCGCACACGCGCACUGGUAGCAUCACUUCACUGAUGAUAUACCCUACCGAGAGUUCAUUGCUCUUGAGGUGCAACGGAGAACGACGAGGAUUCGCGCGAGAACGUCGGAAAGAGAAGGAGAAACGAAGAGGGAGACGCGAACUGGCAUUGGCACGAUGGAGAGAGACAAAAACGGAGACGCACAGCACGGAAGACGAAAGGGAACGAGCGAAAGAGACUAACCGAUGGUACGAACAAGACACUGUCAAGGAGCUCUGAAAAGUCGAAGGAAGGGCGGAGAAAGACGGAUCGAGAAGAAAACUGGAUUAUAUCAAAGGAUAAACGACGAGUAUACAGGCGUGUAAAAAAUCCGGAAACGUAUCGAAAAGGUGAACGCCAUACGAAGACAAGAAACGAGUAUCUGGUUGCAUGAAUAUUAAUAAAGCACGUUAACUCGACACACGACUCUGUCGUGCUUAUAUUACACUCGGAAGUAGCCGGCAAUUAUUCAAAACCAAUGACCACGUUGAAGAGAUCCUUCUGAGUAGCCGGCCAUUUAUAUGAGAGUUCGACGUUUUGAACGAUCAAGCGCGUGAAAUAAGAAAUGCAAUUUUUUUCAAAUACCUGACAACUUCUAAACUUUGUCUCCCAAGAGAUGUUUUAGACGCUAGAACGUUUUUCAAGAAUAAUCAUUUGUCUAAAAUGUUCGGUAAUUAUGUAAACUUGUAACUGUUACAUUAUUAUAAUAUAUGGAUUUAAGAGUUCA